rnacentral:rRNA from 1 species
ACUGGAUGCUUAGUACGGCGAGUGAAGCGGCAAAAGCUCAAAUUUGAAAUCUGGUACCUUCGGUGCCCGAGUUGUAAUUUGGAGAGGGCAACUUUGGGGCCGUUCCUUGUCUAUGUUCCUUGGAACAGGACGUCAUAGAGGGUGAGAAUCCCGUGUGGCGAGGAGUGCGGUUCUUUGUAAAGUGCCUUCGAAGAGUCGAGUUGUUUGGGAAUGCAGCUCUAAGUGGGUGGUAAAUUCCAUCUAAAGCUAAAUAUUGGCGAGAGACCGAUAGCGAACAAGUACAGUGAUGGAAAGAUGAAAAGAACUUUGAAAAGAGAGUGAAAAAGUACGUGAAAUUGUUGAAAGGGAAGGGCAUUUGAUCAGACAUGGUGUUUUGUGCCCUCUGCUCCUUGUGGGUAGGGGAAUCUCGCAUUUCACUGGGCCAGCAUCAGUUUUGGUGGCAGGAUAAAUCCAUAGGAAUGUAGCUUGCCUCGGUAAGUAUUAUAGCCUGUGGGAAUACUGCCAGCUGGGACUGAGGACUGCGACGUAAGUCAAGGAUGCUGGCAUAAUGGUUAUAUGCCGCCCGUUGAAAACGGGGGGCCAAAAAAAAAAAAAAAAAAGGGAAAGGAAAAAAAAA